GAAACCUCCAUCAGCAUCUUACCAGGAUGAUUCGUCUUCUCUCAGGCUGGCUGCCGCUCCGGAACGAGUGCCUUGUCCAGGUACGAUUUUAACAAUCAAGUCCUCAUAAUCGACAGGUGGCACUGAGAUGGAACGGAGCCUUUCCAAAAAUGACUUGAAGGCCAGUCUGAAAGAAUGUUGGCUAUCGUGGAGGCCUACAAGUGGUCAAUUCUAGAUGGUCAUUUGAUCGGGACAGACGUCCAGAUGCCUUUUUUGAAGAACUAAAGAUAGUGGAGCACAGUCGUCUGACUUAACACUAAAAUCAAUAUGGACUCAGGGUACCGUAUAUCUCAACCAUGACUUAAUUCCUGUCAAUAUAUACAUAUAGCAAUAUUUACAGACUUAAGGGUAUAUCUCAAAUAUGCCUUAAUUCCUGUCAAUGUAUAUAUAGCAAUAUUUACAGACUUAAGGGUAUAUUUCAACCAUGACUUAAUUCCUGUCAAUAUAUAUAUAGCAAUAUUUACAGACUUAAGGGUAUAUCUCAAACCAUGCCUUAAUUCCUGUCAAUGUAUAUAUAGCAAUAUUUACAGACUUAAGGGUAUAUCUCAACCAUGCCUUAAUUCCUGUCAAUGUAUAUAUAGCAAUAUUUAGUAGUACUAAACAACUUACAGUACAAAUAAAGUAGUA